rnacentral:rRNA from 1 species
UUAGAGUUUGAUCCUGGCUCAGGGCUAACGCUGGCAGCGUGCCUUAGCCAUGCAAGUCGAGCGGGGAAGGCCCUAAUGGGUCUUCCCAGCGGCGGACGGCGGAGUAAUACACCGCUAACCUGCCCUGGGGAGGGGGAUAACCUGCCGAAAGGUGGGCUAAUCCCCCAUACGCUCCCUUGGGGGCAUCCCUUAGGGAGGAAAGGGUCCUGUGUAAGGAUCUGCCCUGGGAGGGGGCGGUGGCCCAUCAGGUAGUUGGUGGGGUAACGGCCCACCAAGCCUAAGACGGGUAGCCGGCGUGAGAGCGCGGCCGGCCCGAGGGGCACUGAGAUACGGGCCCCACUCCUACGGGAGGCAGCAGGCUGGAAAUGUGGGCAAUGGGGGAAACCCUGACCCCGCGACGCUGCGUGCGGGAAGAAGCCCUUCGGGGUGUAAACCGCUUUUGCGGGGGACGAAGGACUGACGGUACCCCGCGAAUAAGCCACGGCUAACCUCGUGCCAGCAGCCGCGGUAAGGCGGGGGUGGCGAGCGUUGCCCGGAUUUACUGGGCGUAAAGGGCGUGUAGGCGGCCUGGGGCGUCCCAUGUGAAAGGCCACGGCUCAACCGUGGAGGAGCGUGGGAUACGCUCAGCUAGACGUGGGAGAGGGUGGUGGAAUUCCCGGAGUAGCGGUGAAAUG